ACAAGCAUAAGACAGGGGGGAAAAGACGGUCGGAAUCUAAACAUUUAGACUUGAAUCUUGUGGCUCCUUACUCAUUAAGUGACCUUAGAUUCCUAAAAGCCUCAUCUUAUCAAUGAAAUGUGCAGAGUAAUAGGGAUAGUAACACAAGCAGCAAGCACUGCUUUAAAGAGAACUGUGGUUAUAGCUCUGAAUGUACUCUGUACAUUUUAAACUGUUGUAGACAGGCUCUUUGUUUAGCGCGCGGGGAAAAUGAAGUGAAAUAACGCACAGGGCAGAGAAUAACAACAAUGCAGUAGUGACUGGAAGUGACUGUGUGGUAAAUACAGAUCUUCAUGCUGACCCAUUCGUUCUAAUAUACUCUACCAUCUACUCCUAAAGAGAGCUAGAAAGGAGAAAUAGAAGCAGAGGAAGAGGAGGAGUGUGCUUAGCUAACCGCCAGAGGAAACGUUUGCCGACUGAAUUGCACCAUGAUGCCUUCUUGCCUUAGAAGCUCUGUUUUUCAGGUGUUGAAAGUACCCGUUUAGAAGUCCACCAGUCCUAUAAUACUUUCUCCACUAUUUCCUACCCUGUGUAAGAAAGGCGUCUUUUUAUGACUUAUGUAUGUUCAUACUGCGUCACCACCCAAUAAAUCCACUUUGUC